GGGGUAGAUAACUGGGGUGAAGUCGUAACAAGGUAUCCGUACCGGAAGGUGCGGAUGGAUCACCUCCUUUCUAUGGAGA
rnacentral:rRNA from 1 species